rnacentral:rRNA from 1 species
UCGAGAAUCUUCGGCAAUGGACGAAAGUCUGACCGAGCGACGCCGCGUGCGGGAUGAAGGUCUUCGGAUUGUAAACCGCUGUCAGAGGGGAUGAAGUAUACGAGAGCUAUCUCUUGUAUUUGACAGAGCCUCAGAGGAAGCACGGGCUAAGUUCGUGCCAGCAGCCGCGGUAAUACGAACUGUGCGAACGUUAUUCGGAAUCACUGGGCUUAAAGGGUGCGUAGGCGGUUUUCUAAGUCACGUGUGAAAUCUUCCGGCUCAACCGGAAAACUGCGCGUGAUACUGGAUAACUUGAGUGAGGUAGGGGUGUGUGGAACUUCCGGUGGAGCGGUGAAAUGUGUAGAGAUCGGAAGGAACGCCAGCAGCGAAAGCGGCACACUGGGCCUUUUCUGACGCUGAGGCACGAAAGCUAGGGGAGUGAACGG